rnacentral:rRNA from 1 species
AUGCAAGCUCGCGCCGGAUCGGCGGCCGGCGCCGCCGCGCUCGCCGCCACGAAGCAGCACCCGGCGGCCGCCUCGUCCCUCUUCGCGCUGCUCUCCCUCUCGCUGCUCCUCCUCCGGCUGCUGCUCCGCCUCCGGCUCGCCGCCUUCCGCGACGCCGCGCUCACGCUCCACCUCCUCGCGCGCCUCCGCAUCCGGCCCGUCACCCUCCGCCUCCCCGGCCCGCACGCCACCACGCUCCGCGUCUGGUGCCCGGCCUCGCCGUCCGGCAAGCCGCCGCCGCUGCUCCUCCACGGCUUCGGCGGCGACGCCAAGUGGACGUGGGCGCGCAACCUGGCCGCGCUCUCCCGCAGCUUCCACCUCUACGUGCCGGACCUGGUCUUCUUCGGCUCGCACUCCCGCUCCGCCUCGCCGCUCCGGUCCGUGGCCUUCCAGGCCCGCUGCGCCGCGGACGCGAUGCGGCUCCUCGGCGUGGGCCGGUACGACGUGGCCGGGAUCAGCUACGGGGGGUUCGUGGCGUACCGGAUGGCGGCCGUGGAGGCCCGGGAGAGCGUGGCCAGGGUUGUCAUCAUGACCAGCGGCGUGGCGGCCACGGUGCAGGAGAUGGGCGAGCUGGCGGCGCGGGAGGAGAUGGCCGUGGAGGAGGCGCUGCUGCCCGACAGCGCCGCCGGGCUGCGCCGGCUCGUGCACCGGUCCAUGCACCGCCCCCCGCCCUGGCUGCCGGACUUCGUGCUCCACGAUUUCAUCCAGCUGAUGUUCGUGGACCAGAGAAAGGAGAGAACGGAGCUGCUGCGAGAACUACUCAGGAGCGGAGCCGGCAUCGAUCCCCUCCCGGCUCUCACUCAGAAAACGCUGGUUCUGUGGGGAGACAAGGACCAGGUGUUCCCCGUCGAUCUUGGCUACAAACUGCACAGGCAUCUAGGCAAGAAAUCGAGGCUAGAGAUAAUCAAGGACGCAGGGCACGCGCUGCAGUUGGAGGGGGCCGACAAGGUCAACAGUUUCAUCAAGUCGUUCUUCCUAGAUGAACGGGAUGAGCCAGAAUUCGGCACAACCUGA